UUACAAGUGGGGUAGAAGCAGUCUUCCUUGAUAACUGAUAACACAAGUAAAUUAUUUGUUAUGUAUGAAAUAAUGUCUUCAGUCUUUAUAUUUUUGAGAAGAUAGCUUCAGGGCACAGUGAAUAUUUUAGUUGAAGCACUAAUUCUUAACCCUGUUUUAGUUGCCAUUUUGGGGAUAAUUCUUUCAGUCUCAUGAAGCUAUGGGAUAUUUUUCCAGAAAACAUUGCAACACACACAGAUAUAGACAUACCUAGGCAAUUCUGCAUAUGGUAUGAGGAGGUUUAUUGAGCUCCCAGCUGAAGCUCUCUGGGUAUCCUGUAUGAAGAGCCUCUAAAACUGAAGAAUAUUAGUUUAGGAAGUACUACAGUAAUUUUCACUAGUAGGAAUGUUAUUUUGGGU
rnacentral:lncRNA from 1 species